UACAGAGGCCACGAGCGUUAGGCGGAAUCACUGGGCUUAAAGCGUGUGUAGGUGGAUGGGUAAGUAUCUUGUGAAAUCCCACGGCUCAACCGUGGAACUGCUUGGUAUACUGCCUGUCUUGAGGCACUCAGGGGCGAGCGGAACAAAUGGUGGAGCGGUGAAAUGCGUAGAUAUCAUUUGGAACGCCGAUGGUGAAGACAGCUCGCUGGGGGUGUACUGACACUGAGACACGAAAGCCAGGGGAGCAAACGGG
rnacentral:rRNA from 1 species